rnacentral:rRNA from 1 species
CAUCUAAGUAUUAAAGGUGACGCCUGCCCAGUGACUUUUCAACGGCCGCGGUAUUCUAACCGUGCAAAGGUAGCGUAAUCACUUGUUCACUAAAUAUGGACCAGUAUGAACGGCUAAAUGAGGGCUAACCUGUCUCCUUUGUCCAAUCAGUGAAACUGAUCUUUCAGUCCAAAAGCUGAAAUACACACAUAAGACGAGAAGACCCUGUGGAGCUUUAAAUUUAUAUCAACAACACCAUAAGCCUGUAUGAUUAAAAAUUUUAAGUUGGGGCAACUUCGGAACAAAGCCAAACUUCCGAGAACAAGAUACAUCUAACCAAGGCCUACAAGCCAAAAAUUGACCCAGUACAACUGAUAAACGAACCAAGUUACCCCAGGGAUAACAGCGCCAUCUUCUUCAAGAGUUCAUAUCGACAAGAAGGCUUACGACCUCGAUGUUGGAUCAGGACACCCAAACGGUGCAGCCGCUGUUAAAGGUUCGUUUGUUCAACGAUUAAUAGUCCUACGUGAUCUGAGUUCAGACCGG